rnacentral:rRNA from 1 species
GACGAACGCUGGCGGCGUGCUUAACACAUGCAAGUCGAACGAAGUGGCGAACGGGUGAGUAACGCGUAAACAACCUGCCCUUCAGAGGGGGACAACAGUGGGAAACGACUGAUAAUACCGCAUACUGAAGGAGGGGAUGGAGUCUGAGUGGCUAGGUGGGGGGGUAACGGCCCACCAAGGCGAUGAUCAGUAGCCGGUCUGCGAGGGUGAACGGCCCAAAUUGGACUUGGGCACGGCCCAAACUUCUGACGGGGGCAGCCGUGGGGGAUCUUCCGCAAUGGACGGAAGUCUGACGGAGCAACGCCGCGUGAGUGAUGACGGCCUUCGGGUUGUAAAACUCUGUUAAUCGGGACGCGUUACCGGAAUAGAAAGCCACGGCUAACUACGUGCCAGCAGCCGCGGUAAUAC